GUGGUGGCUUUCAUGCGCGUCCGUGUGAAGAGACCACCAAACAGGCUUUGUGUGAGCAAUAAAGCUGUUUAUUUCACCUGGGUGCAGGUGGGCUGAGUCCGAAAAGAGUCAGCGAAGGGAGAUAGGGGUGGGGCUGUUUUAUAGUAUUUGGGAAGGUAAUGGAAAAUUACAGUCAAAGGGCGGGCAGGAGUGGGGGGUCGCAAGGUGCUCAGUGGGGGUGCUUCUGAGCCAGGAGAAGGAAAUUUGCAGGGUUAAUCACUCAGUUAAGGUGGGGCAGGAACAAAUCACAAUGGUGGAAUGUCAUCAGUUAAGGCGGGGCAGGGCCUUUUCACUUCUUUUGUGAUUCUUCAGUUACUUCAGGCCAUCUGGGUGUAUAUGUGCAAGGCACAGGGGAUGCGAUGGCUUGGCUUGGGCUCAGAGGCCUGACAGUGGCACACGCCUGUAAUCCCAGCUACUUGGGAGCCUGAGGCAGGAGAAUCACUUGAACCCAGGAGGUGCAGGGUGCAGUGAGCCGAGAUCGCCCCACUGCACUCCAGCCUGGGCAACAGAGACUCCAUCUCAAAAAAACAAAAAAAAAAGCACAGGUCCCCUCCCUCAGUCCUGCAGACUUCCUCAAGCUGGGAAGGACCAAGGAUUUUGGGAAAUAACUCCACCGGCUUACAGACAGUGCACCCCAGGACAAAGAGUCAUGGUGUAAAUUUUAAUUAUCCUUUGUAGAGGCUUCAAAAAAAAAAAAAUCUAGAGUGCAGAGGUUCAGUCUGGUCCACACAGUUCUGAAUGCCUUUUAAUUAUCAUCACACACACCAGAGAAGGUCAUCUUAGAAUAUUUAAUCAGUUAGCACUAGAUGAAGGCUGGAGUAGGAGAGACUGGGAUAGUGGGGGGCAAUGUGGGGAUGGAGGCAGGGCGAGGGAGAUAAAGUCAAACUGGUUUUUUUUUUGUUUUUUUUUUUUUUUUUUUUUGGAGACAGAGCCUUACUCUGUCGCCCAGGCUGGAGUGCAAUGGUGUGAUCUCAGCUCACUGCAACCUCUGCCUCCUGGGUUUAAUCGAUUCUCCUGCCUCAGCCUCCCAAGUAGCUGGGAUUACAGGCACCCACCACCAUGCCCAGCUAAUUUAUUUGUAUUUUUUUAGUAGAGACAGGGUUUCACCAUGUUGGCCAGGCUGGUCUCGAACUCCUGACCUCAGGUGAUCCACCCGCCUCGGUCUCCCAAAGUGCUGGGAUUAUAGGGGUGAGCCACCGUGCCCAGCUAAGAUAUUUCAAUCUGUGAAUAACCCAUAUGGCCUGGUAACAGCAAGCACCUGGGAAUAUAUACAUAUAACCCACAUACGGACUGUCCCGUUCACUCCUCACAACCACUCUGCUAACAUACUACCAUCACCCCAUUUUAGAGAUGAGGAAACUGAGGCAGAGGUGCCUUGCCUAAGGUUUACAUAGUUCCAUUUGAGUGCCUACAUGGGAGUGCUUCAUUUGGUCCCCAAAGCUAGCCUGAGACAAGAACUUUCUUCUCCCCCCCCCGCAAGAGACAGGCUCUUCCCAUGUUGCCCAGGAAGAGGUUCUGCUUGUUGGACUUGGAGAGCUCGGCCAGGCGCUGCUGCUCCUCCUGGGGUAGGGGGACAGUUGGAGGAGAGGGUCAGCGCAAGGUGGACAGAGCCUCCUCCCAGAUGCCCAGGUCCCCAGGCCUCAGCCCAGGGACCACCUUUCCUUCUGACUUCUGCCAAGUCCAGACCCCUUUCCCCAAACCCUGGG
rnacentral:lncRNA from 10 species